rnacentral:lncRNA from 1 species
UGAAAUUGGUAAAGACAGUUAUUCGUGAACUUCAUACAAUGUAAGGGCAUUUCCAAAUAGUCCUAAAUUUAAUGCUUAAUGCAUCUGAAAAUGGUUGAAAAUAACACUGUAAAAAUCAUCGUUUUUCAUCUAGCAUUAUUUGCACGUGCAGUAUAGGUGUGUUUUAAAGGCACAACAGUGAAGCCGCCGUAUAAUACUUUAAUCGACCCG